rnacentral:rRNA from 1 species
CCUACGGGAGGCAGCAGUGGGGAAUAUUGCACAAUGGGGGAAACCCUGAUGCAGCGACGCCGCGUGAGCGAUGCAGUAUUUCGGUAUGUAAAGCUCUAUCAGCCGAGCAGAAAAUGACGGUACCUGACUACGAAGCCCCGGCUAACUCCGUGCCAGCAGUCGCGGUAAUACGUAGGGGGCAAGCUUUAUCCUGAUUUACUAGGUGUAACGGGAGCGUUGACGUCGGUGCAAGCACGAUGUGAAAGCCCGGGGCUCAACACCGGGACUGCAUUUGGAACUGUGCUGCUAGAGUGUCGGAGAGGCAGGCGGAAGUCCUAGUGUAGCGGUGAAAUGCGUAGAUAGUAGGAGGAACACCAGGGGCGAAGGCGGCCUGCUGGACGAUGACUGACGUUGAGGCUCGAAAGCGUGGGGAGCAAACAGGAUUAGAUACCCCUGUAGGC